rnacentral:tRNA from 1 species
GCACCGGUAGCUCAGUUGGAUAGAGCAUCUGGCUACGAACCAGGAGGUCGGGGUUCGAAUCCUCCCGGUGCGCCA